UACGAAGGGUGCAAGCGUUAAUCGGAAUUAUUGGGCGUAAAGGGCGCGUAGGCGGCUUUUGCAAGUGGCGGGGUGAAAAGCCCCUCGGCUUAACCGAGGAACUGCCUGUCAGACUGUGAGGCUUGAGACCGGGAGAGGUGAGUGGAAAUUCCCCAGUGUAGCGGUGAAAAUGCGUAGAUAUUUGGGGAGGAACACCAGUGGC
rnacentral:rRNA from 1 species